CCUGGCUCAGGAUGAACGCUAGCGGCAGGCUAACACAUGCAAGUCGAGGGGCAUCGGGAGUAGCAAUACUGCCGGCGACCGGCGCAAGGGUGCGUAACGCGUGAGCAACAUGCCCGUAUCAGGGGGAUAAUCCAUGGAAACGUGGUCUAAUACCCCAUAGUAAUUAUGUAAGGCAUCUUAUAUAAUUUAAAGCUUUGGUGGAUACGGAUUGGCUCGCGUGACAUUAGCUGGAUGGUAAGGUAACGGCUUACCAUGGCUACGAUGUCUAGGGGUUCUGAGAGGAAGGUCCCCCACACUGGAACUGAGACACGGUCCAGACUCCUACGGGAGGCAGCAGUGAGGAAUAUUGGACAAUGGAUGGAAAUCUGAUCCAGCCAUGCCGCGUGACAGGAAGACGGCCCUAUGGGUUGUAAACUGCUUUUGUAUGGGAGCAAUAAGGGCUACGUGUAGUCCGAUGAGAGUACCAUACGAAUAAGCACCGGCUAACUCCGUGCCAGCAGCGGC
rnacentral:rRNA from 1 species